rnacentral:rRNA from 1 species
UACGUAGGCAGCAAGCGUUGUUCGGAAUUACUGGGCGUAAAGAGUGUGUAGGCGGUUCUCUAAGUUCCGUGUGAAAUCUCCCGGCUUAACUGGGAGGGUGCGCCGAAGACUGGAGGGCUUGAGUGUCGGAGAGGAUAGCGGAAUUCCUGGUGUAGCGGUGAAAUGCGUAGAUAUCAGGAGGAACACCUGUGGUGUAGACAGCUAUCUGGACGGCCACUGACGCUGAGGCACGAAAGCGUGGGUAGCAAACAGG